rnacentral:rRNA from 1 species
UCAGGAUGAACGCUGGCGGCGUGCCUAACACAUGCAAGUCGAGCGAUUCUCUUCGGAGAAGAGCGGCGGACGGGUGAGUAACGCGUGGGUAACCUGCCUCAUACACAUGGAUAACAUACCGAAAGGUAUGCUAAUACAGGAUAAUAUAAGAGAUUCACAUGGAUUUCUUAUCAAAGCUCCGGCGGUAUGAGAUGGACCCGCGUCUGAUUAGCUAGUUGGUAAGGUAACGGCUUACCAAGGCGACGAUCAGUAGCCGACCUGAGAGGGUGAUCGGCCACAUUGGAACUGAGACACGGUCCAAACUCCUACGGGAGGCAGCAGUGGGGAAUAUUGCACAAUGGGCGAAAGCCUGAUGCCAGCAACGCCGCGUGAGUGAUGAAGGCCUUCGGGUCGUAAAACUCUGUCCUCAAGGAAGAUAAUGACGGUACUUGAGGAGGAAGCCCCGGCUAACUACGUGCCAGCAGCCGC